AGACCUUUAGUUUGAACCCCGAAACCAGGUGAGCUACCCCGAGACAGCCUAUAUUGAUUUAGGGCUAACCCGUCUCUGUGGCAAAAGAGUGGGAAGAGCUCCGGGUAGAAGUGACAGACCUACCGAACCUGGUGAUAGCUGGUUGCCUGAGAAGUGGAUAGAAGUUCAGCCUCGCACACCCCAAGCCAGAGAAUACACCGCUAAGGCACUCAGGGAAAUGUGGGAGAGUUAGUUAAAGGGGGUACAGCCCCUUUAACAAAGGAUACAACCUUUGCAGGAGGAUAAAGAUCAUAAUAUAUAAAACAUGCUGCUCUAGUGGGCCUAAAGGCAGCCACCUAAACAGAAAGCGUUAAAGCUCAGGCAGAAAGAAGUUUAUUAUACCGAUAAAAAAUCUUACUCCCCUAAUUAUAUCAGGCCAACCCAUGCCAACAUGGAAGAGAUUAUGCUAAAAUGAGUAACAAGAAGACCUGCUCUUCUCCCAGCACAAGUGUAAGCCAGAUCGGACUAGCCGCUGGAACUUAACGAACCCAACCCAAGAGGGUAGUGUGAAUAGUACAGACCCCAAGAAGAACUCACAACUAAACAAUCGUUAACCCCACACUGGAGUGCUAUUAUAAAGGAAAGACUAAAAGAGGGGGAAGGAACUCGGCAAACACAAGCCUCGCCUGUUUACCAAAAACAUCGCCUCCUGCAACUAUAUUGAGUAUAGGAGGUCCAGCCUGCCCAGUGACUACGGGUUCAACGGCCGCGGUAUUUUGACCGUGCAAAGGUAGCGCAAUCACUUGUCUCUUAAAUAGAGACCUGUAUGAAUGGCUAGACGAGGGCUUAACUGUCUCCCCCCUCCAGUCAGUGAAAUUGAUCUAUCCGUGCAGAAGCGGGUAUAAUUAUACAAGACGAGAAGACCCUUUGGAGCUUAAGGUACAAAAUCCAACCACGUUAAACGACCCCCUAAAGGGCAAGAACUUAGUGGCCAAUGAAGUUUUACCUUCGGUUGGGGCGACCACGGAGGAGAAAAAAGCCUCCGAGUGGACUGGGUUAAAACCCAAAGCUAAGAGAUACAUCUCUAAGCCGCAGAACAUCUGACCAAAAGUGAUCCGGCUAAAAAGCCGAUCAACGAACCAAGUUACCCUAGGGAUAACAGCGCAAUCCUCUCCCAGAGUCCAUAUCGACGAGGGGGUUUACGACCUCGAUGUUGGAUCAGGACAUCCUAAUGGUGCAGCCGCUAUAAAGGGU
rnacentral:rRNA from 1 species